rnacentral:rRNA from 1 species
AUUGAACGCUGGCGGCAGGCCUAACACAUGCAAGUCGAGCGAGAGGCGGAAGGGUGAGUAAUAUAUCGGAACGUGCCCAGUAGCUGGGGAUAACUACUCGAAAGAGUGGAUAAUACCGCAUACUAUUGGAGCGGCCGCUACUGGAUUAGCUAGUUGGUGGGGUAAAGGCUCACCAAGGCAACGAUGCGUAGCUGGUUGGAGAGGACGACCAGCCACACUGGGACUGAGACACGGCCCAGACUCCUACGGGAGGCAGCAGUGGGGAAUUUUGGACAAUUGGGGAAACCCUGAUCCAGCCAUCCCGCGUGAAUGAGAAGGCCUUCGGGUUGUAAAGUACUUUUGGCAGAGAAGCGGUAUCUGCAGAAUAAGCACCGGCUAACUACGUGCCAGCAGCCGCGGUAAUUC